rnacentral:rRNA from 1 species
AUACGGAGGAUGCGAGCGUUAUCCGGAUUUAUUGGGUUUAAAGGGUGCGCAGGCGGUCUGUUGUAAGACAGCGGUAAAAUGUCGGGGCUCAACCCCGGCCGGCCGUUGUGACUGCGAGACUGGAGUUGGAGAGAAGUAUGCGGAAUGCGCAGUGUAGCGGUGAAAUGCAUAGAUAUCGCGCAGAACUCCGAUUGCGAAGGCAGCAUACCGGCUCCACACUGACGCUGAGGCACGAAAGCGUGUGGAUCGAACAGGAUUAGAUACCCUGGUAGUCCACGCAGUAAACGAUGAAUGCUGGCUGUCCGGAGGGAUUUACCUCUGGGUGGCGAAGAGAAAUCGAUAAGCAUUCCACCUGGGGAGUACGCCGGCAACGGUGAAACUCAAAUGAAUUGGCGGGG